rnacentral:rRNA from 1 species
UGGGGAAUCUUGCACAAUGGGCGAAAGCCUGAUGCAGCCAUGCCGCGUGAAUGAUGAAGGCCUUAGGGUUGUAAAAUUCUUUCGCCAGGGAUGAUAAUGACAGUACCUGGUAAAGAAGCCCCGGCUAACUUCGUGCCAGCAGCCGCGGUAAUACGAAGGGGGCUAGCGUUGUUCGGAAUUACUGGGCGUAAAGCGCGCGUAGGCGGACUUUUAAGCCAGAUGUGAAAUCCCGGGGCUCAACCCCGGAACUGCAUUUGGAACUGGAAGUCUAGAGACCAGGAGAGGUGAGCGGAAUACCGAGUGUAGAGGUGAAAUUCGUAGAUAUUCGGUGGAACACCAGUGGCGAAGGCGGCUCACUGGACUGGUACUGACGCUGAGGUGCGAAAGCGUGGGGAGCAAACAGGAUUAGAUACCCCGGUAGUCC